AUCCAUUUUUUGUUGUGGAGCAGAUUGAGUUCGUCAACUUCAUGGGAUCAAUAAGCCUAUUAUGACACAUGAGGAAGAAGAACCCGUUGAUGUGAUAUUGAAAGCAUGACGGUUUGGAUGAUAGUUGAAGUGUAGUUGUGGUUGUCAUUGUAGUACUUAAUUUAUGGAUUUGAUUUGAUUGAUUUUUUUUUUUUUUUGGUUGAUGUUGAAGCAUAAUGUAAAUUU